GCUCUAUAUAAACAGGGCAGCCAAAGGGAGGAGGACCACAAGGCUCAGGGACUGAAAAGCAGGGUAAGCGGCCGCAGCCAUGAUGGAUCGACCCGAGUCGCCAACGGAAUUUUGAGAGACAUGCGGAAUGUAGUCUGGACAAGUGAAGGAGUUUAUCCUCAUAAAGCAAAACGAAAUGUCACAGUUAUAUGCCUCUGAAUGCAGAUUUGGAGAAUAUCAAAGGCAGCUUACCAGAGAGGAAAAUAUGCGACCUGCCAGGACCUGAAGGAAGAACUUAGAGAAAGCAGAGCCAUUAAUACUCAGGAAAUGGGAAGUUGUCGAUCAUGUUGAACAGUGGAGCGGAACAAAUAGAAAUUAGAACAUAUUUCUGAACUGAGUUCACCAAUAAAGCAAAGCUGUAUAUAUCUUCUGCACAUGUAAGGUUUUUUUUUUUUUUCUUUCCCCGUCUAUAAAAUUAGAAUCAAAGAAGGAAGCAAUUCCAAG